rnacentral:rRNA from 1 species
GAAAAGAGGGUGAAAAGAACCUGAAACCGUUACGGGGGAAGCGGAUUGCAUUAUUCUAGUUUUAACGUGUUCAACCUUUUAGGUGCAUUGACGUUAAAACUUAUCUGCUGUGGAUUUUUGAUAAUUGAAAAUGAAUUAUUAAAGAUUGAGGGCUCCACUUUGUGUGAGGACAGCGGAUUGACGAUGCGAUACGACCCGUCUUGAAACACGGACCAAGGAGUCUAGCGCGGGUGCGAGUCGGAAGGUGUAAAAACCUGUGGGCGAAGUGAAAGCGAGAUAAAACUCUCAGUUUGAGGCGGCAUAUUUUCGUUGAAAAUAGGUCCGACCUUGAGCAGUUGCGCUGGGACCCGAAAGAUGGUGAACUAUGCCGGAGUAGGGCAAAGCCAGAGGAAACUCUGGUGGAGGCUCGUAGCGGUGCUGACGUGCAAAUCGCUCGUCGAACUUGGGUAUAGGGGCGAAAGACUAAUCGAACCAUCUAGUAGCUGGUUUCCUCCGAAGUUUCUCUCAGGAUAGCGGGCCGACAUAGUGUUGUUUUGUGCGGUAAAGCGAAUGAUUAGCGUAUUUGGGGACAUUUAGUCUUCAGACGAUUCUCAAACUUUCAAUGCGCAAGGGUGUUGCUGCUUAAUUGAGCUUCACCGGUAAAAACGUCGGCCCUGUGGGCCACUUUUGGUAAGC